UACGAAGGGGGCUAGCGUUGUUCGGAAUUACUGGGCGUAAAGCGCGCGCAGGCGGUUGUGCAAGUCAGAGGUGAAAGCCCGGAGCUCAACUCCGGAACUGCCCCUGAGACUGCUCGACUUGAGUACGGGAGAGGUGAGUGGAAUUCCGAGUGUAGAGGUGAAAUUCGUAGAUAUUCGGAAGAACACCGGUGGCGAAGGCGGCUCACUGGCCCGUUACUGACGCUCAGGCGCGACAGCGUGGGGAUCAAACAGGA
rnacentral:rRNA from 1 species